GGGGCGGGGCCUGAGGGGUGUCGUGGGCCUCUGGGUGGCCCUGUGCACGCCGGGUGAUGGAGUUCCCCUGGCGGGACCUGCCUCUGUGCCCCUGCGCCCCUUCCCCGGCAGGUGUCCCGGGAGCGAACGCCGAGGACGAGGACAGCGCGGCCGAGCCGGGGCCCCUGCGCAGACGACCGGAGCCGGCGAGAAGCUGGGGAGCGCCGGGGAGAAUGAUAGAUGCCGUCAUCCCGGUUUUCAGAGGACAGGGCGGUCUUCCUGACUACGGAGCCAUGUGAUGCUGUGGCCCGGGGCCCCGCGAAGAAGGGGAGCCAGCGAGGAAGCACGAGGUCCGUUGCAAAUACCGGCAGUGGCGGUGGGAAACUGAAGCGGAGCCGCGUCCCAGCUGCCUGGCCUUCCUCGUGCUCUCACGUCCCAGAGCGUACACGUAAGCCGUCUCCGAGGGACAAGGUCCUGAGCCUGUGGCAUUUUGUCAGGCUGGCCGGAGUGGUGCCAUGUGCUGCGGAGCACAGGCCAGGUAGACGCCAGAGGUGACCACGCCGACUCCCCGCGCGCCGUCGCUCCUGCCGCGGGCCCCAUGAGAAGCACAGUGGACAGGAGGAAGCUGGAGCAGCUGUACGACAGGUACAGAGACCCACAAGAUGAAAAUAAAAUUGGAAUUGACGGAAUUCAACAGUUUUGUGAUGACUUAAGCCUGGAUCCUGCCAGCGUCAGCGUUUUGGUCAUUGCGUGGAAAUUCAGGGCAGCGACGCAAUGUGAAUUUACCAAAAAGGAAUUUGUAGAUGGCAUGACAGAGCUCGGGUGUGACAGCACAGAGAAGCUGAGGGCCCUUCUGCCGAGGCUGGAGCAGGAACUGAAGGACACGGCGAAGUUUAAGGAUUUUUAUCAGUUUACCUUCACCUUUGCUAAGAACCCUGGGCAGAAGGGUUUAGAUUUAGAAAUGGCUGUUGCAUACUGGAAUUUAGUGUUAUCUGGAAGGUUUAAAUUUUUAGAUCUUUGGAACAGCUUUUUAUUGGAACAUCACAAAAGAUCAAUCCCAAGGGACACUUGGAACCUUCUGCUAGAUUUUGGAAAUAUGAUUGCAGAUGAUAUGUCUAACUAUGACGAAGAAGUUUAAUUUAGGAGGACAACCCCCUAAAUAAACUAAAGCAUUUCAAAAGUGGAUGUGCAGAGAGCCCUGCGGCAGAGCCGUGGGACCAAACGGGUUUGGAAGCCGCUCUUCCAGGUACGUAAUCCUGGGUGGCGCCUCAGGCUAGGCAUUCUACCAUGUGAAGAUUCCAGCUGGUAUAACAUGAUCACAUAUUCAUGGUCCCCACCCUGAGAUGUUUGAGGACAGCCUGUCAGGGAGCAUGUAUGUGCCUGCCACCAUGGGCACUGUGCCGCUUUAGGGAAGGACACAGUCUCAGCCUGCCCACUGCAUGCUCCCCCAGCGCCCAGCUUGGAGGCGACCGCUCUGGGGCACCUGUGGUGUUGCAUGUCUAUGUGCGUCCCCAGCACUCAGCACAGAGCGGGCACUUAAUAAACGUGAAUAGUUGACCAUAGACAGAAGCCCAGGGAGUGUGGCUGUGGUGGCGAGACGUGGCUGGUCUGCAGAGGAGGGGCCGGCAGCUUACAGUGAGUGUGUUCCUGGCCAGCGGGGUUGGGGUGGUCCGGGCUACCUGGGGGUGGUGGGGAGGCUGGGCCUGGAGAGGGAACCGGCCCAGGGAGAAAAGGGUGCAGUGUUUUGCAGGGCAGGUGGAAGGCCCUGUGCCUGGUCCCGACUGCCUGGAACAGGGGCCCGGGCCUUGCAGCCGGCCGGCCCCGAGUGCCUGGUCGCUAGAGGCCACGUCCGCACGGGAGCACCAGUGCUGGCCUGGGGUCUGGCUACAGCAAGAGGAAUGGAUCUCACUGGCAAUCCCUCCAGAGAGAUGGGCUGUGAGACGACUCACUUGAGCUCCUGAAACACAAAUAUUGACUGCAGAAAGAAUGCUCUGGAUAUAAAAAUACUGCUCUAGACUGAUGUUCAUGUGAACGUGCUUUCACGGUUCCUGACAUGCUGCAGUCUGCAUGGUGACAGCACCCAUCACCAUGGGAUUCCAGGGACAUUUUAUCAUGUACUGUUUACAAGUCAGCUGGUCUGUCCUGUCCAGUGUCAUUUGAAUGAGCUUCCGAAAAAGUUCUAUAAAGUAUGCUUUAGAAAAAAAAAAAGUAUUUUAUUACGUUUAAAAAGACAUUUUUCCCUGGAAAGUAUUUCUUUUAUGAGCAACGGAUUAUAGAUUCAGAAAUGGAGUGAGUUUGUUCCCUCCGGCCCUCUGCAUGGUUGCGCACAUUCGGAAGCUACAGUGCGCACCGUUACCCGAGACGCCCAGACGGGAAGGUCCCGUCUCAUUUACAUCUGCAGUGUGUGACCGUCGCAUUACCGUCUGUGAGAGGAGGCCGUCCGGCGAGGCAUGGACUCUGCUGUGCUGUCCGAUGGUGGAGCCUGUGACGUUACCUGUUCCUCCUGUUGGGAAAGCUCCUGGGUGUUCUAAAAAUCACUGUGCAGACCCUGCAUUAUAUUUGAAAAGAUCUUCACGUCCCACGUGUGCCUGCUACCCUGUCUGCAGUCCCAUUUAUGAGACAGAUAAACUGGGGUCACUUCACAGGAGAGGAAGUUCACAGUGGACUUUCCGUGAAUGGGCAGUGUGCUUAAAAUGUGUAGUUUGAUGUGACUUUCAAAAUUGGGAUUCAGCAUUUCAGGAAGCUUCUGUGCCCAUGGGAGGUGUUCGUGUGCUUGCCAUGUGUGAACCGUUUAUACUUCCAAAGAGGAGUUGUUCAGAGAGGCCACAGGCUGUCCGGGUGGGAAAGGGGGCUUAAGGCCUGCAGGCCAGAGUCUGGGCUGGGUUGGGUUGGCCCCUACACAGAUGCACGACUGAGUCCCGCGGUGUCUCCUGGGCCUGUACUUCCCUGUCUGCCACAGGGUCGACAGGCCCAUCUCUGCCUGCCAGCCUGUGGUUCUAAGAGAGCAUGCACUUUAUGUAAUAAAAACCUCAACAGCUUUAAAGCAUCCUUCGAGGCUUCGCAGAUUCUUGCCGUGUAAGUGUUCACGGAGGAGGCUGUAGGUCUGCGACCCCUCGUUCUUAAGAUUCGAAGUUGUGGGAGUGGGGGGCUUCUGUGCACUUGGUCAUCAGUAAAUAACGGAACAUUAGUGGCCGGACAAAGGCUCUUCAAGAUUGCGGUUUCUUCUAUUCUAUUUAUUUAAAGCACGCGUGCCAUGAAAAGUGCUAAGAGCUUUGCAAACGUUGAAAUAAAAUAUGUUCUCUGGUGUGGCA